ensembl:lncRNA
GCAGUGAUGAAAUGAUCGUAGCAGACCCUGUACUGACAGCUGUCUGGGUUCAGGUCUUAACGGGCAGAAAGGUUUCUGCGCUUUUCUGACAGUUCUUCAGUCUUAUCUCGGUGUUUCAUGAUAGCGGGGAAUCUGUAAACAUGUGUUUUCUCCGUUGUCUUUCUUCCCUUGUUAGAGCACACAGGGAAUGACAGUAGUGAAGAAUCAACUCGUUUUCGGCACCGUUAUUAUACAGUUUGGGGAAGCAACUCCGCUGCUGUCGGAAGAAUUAAUGCGCUGGUCUUCCAACAUGGCGGCCAGGAGGCGUCGUGUGUUAACUGCGAGCACUCUAUAGUUAAUGUUCUAUGUUUGAGCUGCUUUUGAAAGCUAAAGUCGAAUUGAAAACAUUAUUGACAUUGUUAAAUUCCAUUUUCAUAAUGGCAAGCUAGGAAUGAUGGUUUGGUUAGAUAAACUAGCGAGUCUGUUUGGUUACCACGGCUCCUACUGUAGCUAUCUAUCCAACUUAAACCCAUUUCGAGUGGUACAUGAACCCAUUUCUAGCGGAUGUUGAACCCAGUUCUAGUGGUAAAUGAACCCAGUUCUAGUGGUAAAUGUGUUAAAUUAUAGCCAUGGUAUGUAAGGGCUAAUCAACCAGGGGCUGCGUCCCAUGACGCAGUAGCGGAGCGACUUUCCGCGGUGUUGAUUUCUUUCCCAUAGAGCCCCGAGUUGAUUAUCCCUUUUUUAGUGUUGGUAUGAAAUGGUCUAUGUCAUUGACAUGGGAUGGAUAUCUUCUCACAUUGAUGAUUCUUUCAUCAUAGAUAAGAAAAGACAGUGGAAUGUCUAAACUAUCAUCAGAUCGACCCGAACGGAAGUGGCAGCUGCGGUGUAUUAGUUACGGAAACGUAAACGUCACCACAGAAGCGAACAGAGCAAAACGAGAGUUUCCAUUGGACAAAUUCAGGAAGGUCCAUCCCUGUUUCGUAUCCUGAAUGUUAUGCCACAUAAUUGGCGUAAUGAAAACGCCCCUGAAUAUCCAAACAGCAGACAUACAGUAGGGGACUUUUCCAGACCAGACUCGGCAGGGCAGACGUCUCUAAGGGUGUCAUCAGUGUCCGUGAAGGAGGACAACCUUUUAUUCCCCUCAGACAGACAUCUUUAUUUCCUUAUACCUGGUUAAUCUCUUCUGUCAUGGAGACCUAAAGUCCCCCAGGAGGGAUGUUCCAAUCGGGGGGAGAGGGCUGACCCGCCAUGCCCAGGGGGG